rnacentral:rRNA from 1 species
GGGCCCGCACAAGCGGAGGAACAUGUGGUUUAAUUCGAUGAUACGCGAGGAACCUUACCCGGGCUUGAAGUGCAGAGGAAUAUGGUGGAAACAUCAUAGCCAGCAAUGGUCUCUGUGUAGGUGCUGCAUGGUUGUCGUCAGCUCGUGCCGUGAGGUGUCGGCUUAAGUGCCAUAACGAGCGCAACCCUUAUCGUCAGUUGCCAUCAGGUAAUGCUGGGAACUCUGACGAGACUGCCACCGUAAGGUGUGAGGAAGGUGGGGAUGACGUCAAAUCAGCACGGCCCUUACGUCCGGGGCGACACACGUGUUACAAUGGGCGGUACAGAGGGCAGCUACCCCGCGAGGGGAUGCCAAUCUCAUAAAGCCGUUCUCAGUUCGGAUCGGAGUCUGCAACUCGACUCCGUGAAGCUGGAUUCGCUAGUAAUCGCGCAUCAGCCAUGGCGCGGUGAAUACGUUCCCGGGCCUU